AUCAGAAACAAUCUUCUUUAUUUUAGAGAUCUGAUGCUUUGAUCGAGAAAGGGAUCUAGAAUGGAAUGAUUUUGAAUAUCGAUUCAUUAGUAAAAAAACCCUUCUCCCACAUUUGAAUUACUGAGACAAGAACUUUAUACGAGAAUAGAAG